GGGGGAUUGCCUUCUUUUGGAGUUUCCAGUAAGCCUUGAUCCUCAGAAAGGCCACACACACCCAUGAAUGGUUGGAGCUGAAGGGCCCUGAAGAGUCAUGAUGCACUCUUCUGCUCAAAUGGUUGACUUUUGGUCUUAACUUCUCUUGGGCAAGAAACCCAUCCUUGGCUUGCUCUGAAGGGAACCAGGUCUCUGCAGCAUGCUCUUCCUUUCAGAAUGAAUUACACCUAAUUCUACAGUUCUGGCAUUUUUUAGUGGUUUGUCAUACUGACAUCUUAUGAGUGGUACCCAAAGUUUCAUAAGAGAAGGGCUUUCCCCAUCAAAAAGACAGCUGGAAUGGCCAGAUACAGCUUCUAGAAAAUCUACCAGCCAAGUCCUUCCCAAACCCCCAAAAUUAUGUGAUAUUGCUACUUCCAGCAGAGCAAAUUGACCAGAAAACCAUAAGUAAAAGUUUACUUCCUAUGAAGCCCUCUGGGACUACAGUACCGAUCAGGACAACGUAAGUUCUUAGGACUGCAAGUGCAGAAAACAAUGGAACAAUGUUCAAUCUUUAGUAUUAUUUUAUUACAAUGAAUUCCCUAUUGUAUUGCAAUAUUUCCAUGAGACUACUCUUCAGCCACUCAUAGCCCUUAGCACACCCUCUUCACCUUCCCUUGGGACACCUGACAUUUUUAACAUCAGCAAAUUUGAACGCGAUUUAUUCAGUUUCUUAAAUAUAGCACUUAAGUAGUUAUAAAAUACUGCCCCAAUUCUUUUAUAUACAAUAACCAUUGUGCUUACGAUGACUUAAGCCAUGCAUAUUAUUUUUUAAAAGAAUUAUAUUUACAUGGAAUCUUUAAGAAAAGAAUUUCCCAGAUUCCGGAAGUAGACCUUCCUUUAGAACAGGAAGGAAAUCGUUAAUUUUUACCUUAAAACACAACAGGCGUAAUGGCUUAUUACCCACUGGGAAAACAGUGAAAGAGUUUGUUUGAAACUUGAUGAGGUAGGUGUUUAUAUUAAGAGAUUGUUCUGAAACUCUGUGCCACCAGAGAGUAGCUACACUAAGAUCUUACCUCAAGCCCAAAGCAUUUUAGUGAUGAAGUCAGUAGUAUCUAGGGUAGGAGGAACACCUGAGACACAGUGAACAACAACAAUUUACUCAAAGACAGCAAGUUCACCUCAGAAGUCAGCAGCGAUGCUGAGCACUGAAGUUGAGGCUCCUGAUCCUCCUACUGGUCUAGCCAUUAUUCUUUCCUCACUUUUAAAGCAAUAGGCACAAAGCCUUUUCUUGUAGUGAUUAAUCUCUCUUUAAUGAACUGGGCUGUAGGGGUUCACUCCCUUACAUUGUGAGGUUCUAGUAUACAUUAUCAUUGGACAUUGAACUCAAGGAGAUUUGAGAAGAUUGCCUGUAUCUCAGAACUUGAUUACAUUUUGGAAAGUCGAUUUAGAAAUCAGGAGAAGAUAAUUAAAAACAUGUAUAGCAUUGCUGCCAUGAGACCACUGUGUUCACAUCUAUUCAUGUCUCUGAAGUGACUCUAUUUCUGGAAAUGCCAACAAAGAUAUGCAGGAAUCUGAGGGAAUAGGGAGUGUGUUUUCUAAAAUUGUGUCUGGAUUAGUUACUGAGGAGGUGAACCAACCAAACUCCAACAUAAAUGGCAAAGAAAAGCCGUUCGUCUUUAGCCCUGAAGGAUUCAGCCCACUGUCAGAAGACUUGUGCCACUGCAAAUGCUAUUUUGUCCAGUGAAGUCUUAGGUGAUCUUUGUUAU